UACGUAGGGGGCAAGCGUUGUCCGGAUUUAUUGGGCGUAAAGAGCGCGUAGGCGGCCACACAGGUCAGCUGUGAAAACUCGAGGCUCAACCUCGAGACGUCGGUUGAAACCGUAUGGCUAGAGUCCGGAAGAGGAGAGUGGAAUUCCCGGUGUAGCGGUGAAAUGCGCAGAUAUCGGGAAGAACACCCGUGGCGAAGGCGGCUAUCUGGGACGGUACUGACGCUGAGACGCGAAAGCGUGGGGAGCGAACAGG
rnacentral:rRNA from 1 species